rnacentral:rRNA from 1 species
UGGGGAAUAUUGGACAAUGGGCGAAAGCCUGAUCCAGCCAUGCCGCGUGUGUGAAGAAGGUCUUCGGAUUGUAAAGCACUUUAAGUUGGGAGGAAGGGCAUUAACCUAAUACGUUAGUGUUUUGACGUUACCGACAGAAUAAGCACCGGCUAACUCUGUGCCAGCAGCCGCGGUAAUACGGAGGGUGCAAGCGUUAAUCGGAAUUACUGGGCGUAAAGCGCGCGUAGGUGGUGUGUUAAGUUGGAUGUGAAAUCCCCGGGCUCAACCUGGGAACUGCAUUCAAAACUGACUGACUAGAGUAUGGUAGAGGGUGGUGGAAUUUCCUGUGUAGCGGUGAAAUGCGUAGAUAUAGGAAGGAACACCAGUGGCGAAGGCGACCACCUGGACUAAUACUGACACUGAGGUGCGAAAGCGUGGGGAGCAAACA